GUCUACAGCCAUGCCAUGCUGAACGUGCCCCAUCUCGUCUAAUCUUGGAAGCUAAGCAGGGUUGAGCCUGGUUAGGACUUGGAUGGGGAACCACCUCGGAAUACCAGGUGCUGUAGCUA
rnacentral:rRNA from 1 species